AGCGGCGGACGGGUGAGUAACACGUGGGUAAUCUGCCCCAUACAGGGGGAUAACAGCCGGAAACGGCUGCUAAUACCGCAUAAGCGCACGGGACCGCAUGGUUCUGUGUGAAAAACAAUAGUGGUAUGGGAGGGGCCCGCGUCUGAUUAGCCAGUUGGCGGGGUAGAGGCCCACCAAAGCGACGAUCAGUAGCCGGCCUGAGAGGGCGGACGGCCACAUUGGGACUGAGACACGGCCCAAACUCCUACGGGAGGCAGCAGUGGGGGAUAUUGCACAAUGGGGGGAACCCUGAUGCAGCGACGCCGCGUGGACGAAGAAGUAUUUCGGUAUGUAAAGUCCUAUCAGCAGGGAAGAAGAAAUGACGGUACCUGACUAAGAAGCCCCGGCUAACUACGUGCCAGCAGCCGCGGUAAUACGUAGGGGGCAAGCGUUAUCCGGAUUUACUGGGUGUAAAGGGAGCGCAGGCGGCAGCGCAAGUCUGAUGUGAAAGCCCGGGGCCCAACCGCGGGACUGCAUUGGAAACUGCGCAGCUGGAGUGCCGGAGGGGUAAGCGGAAUUCCUAGUGUAGCGGUGAAAUGCGUAGAUAUUAGGAGGAACACCAGUGGCGAAGGCGGCUUACUGGACGGCAACUGACGCUGAGGCUCGAAAGCGUGGGGAGCAAACAGGAUUAGAUACCCUGGUA
rnacentral:rRNA from 1 species